CCUACGGGUGGCAGCAGUGAGGAAUAUUGGUCAAUGGACGAGAGUCUUAACCAGCCAAGUAGCGUGAAGGAUGACUGCCCUCUGGGUUGUAAACUUCUUUUAUAUGGAAAUAAAAUGUUCCACUUGUAGGAUUUUGUAUGUACCAUAUUAAUAAGGAUCGGCUAACUCCGUGCCAGCAGCCGCGGUAAUACGGAGGAUCCGAGCGUUAUCCGUAUGUAUUGGGUUUAAAGGGAGCGUAGGUGGAUUGUUAAGUCAGUUGUGAAAGUUUGCGGCUCAACCGUAAAAUUGCAGUUGAAACUGGCAGUCGUGAGUACAGUAGAGGUGGGCGGAAUUCGUGGUGUAGCGGUGAAAUGCUUAGAUAUCACGAAGAACUCCGAUUGCGAAGGCAGCUCACUGGACUGCAACUGACACUGAGGCUCGAAAGUGUGGGUAUCAAACAGGAUUAGAUACCCUUGUAGUC
rnacentral:rRNA from 1 species